GAUUUCAAAGCCCCAAACAGAUCCACCCACUGAGGCGGCUGAGAAAAGGAGUUCGGCAGGUGCAGCGCUGUCAGGAGAUGAGACAAGCUAGACACACACCUGCUCUGAGACAGAUGGGGGCUGCUGAAGGUGAACUCACCCCGGGCCCCAUUCCUGACCUCCACCAGGUGGGCUUGAGCAGAGACCGCCUCAGGGCCAGCAGUCCUUCACCUCUUUCCACAAGAGCUUGCCAGGAAGAGAACCCUCUGAAGUCCAUUCUGAGCUCUCAGGCUGGGAUUUACCCGCCAUUUGUCACGGACAUCAGGCAAUUACUGGCACACGGAGCGGGAGGAGAACAGAGAGGGAAGGCUUUGCCUGGCCAGCGGGUCAUCACCUCCGCAUCAGUCACUGUUGGAGACGUCUCUGGUUUGCAUUCCCAGCUCAACUGCACAGAAAAGACAUCUUUUAGAUUCACCAUAGUCACCCCUAUGCUGAGAAAACUGGGAAAAAAGGGCAAUAGUAGUUGCCAUAAAAACCUGGGGGCUCCAGGAGCUGUCCACAAGAACGCUAUAAAGAGUUCUAAUAAUAAUAAUUUCUAUAGUGAUGCUAAUAGUUACUAUAAUAAAUUCUCAUAAUUUCUAAUAAUUCUAAUAAAUUCUAAUAGUAACUUUUAUUAGAUCA
rnacentral:lncRNA from 1 species